rnacentral:rRNA from 1 species
AUUGAACGCUGGCGGCAGGCCUAACACAUGCAAGUCGAACGAGUGGCGGACGGGAGAGUAAUGUCUGGGAAACUGCCUGAUGGGGGGGGAUCACUACUGGAAACGAGCGCAAAUCCCGCAUACCAUCAGAUGUGCCCAGAUGGGAUUAGCUUGGUGGUGGGGUAACGGCUCACCAAGGCGACGAUCCCUAGCUGGUCUGAGAGGAUGCCCAGCCACACUGGAACUGAGACACGGUCCAGACUCCUACGGGAGGCAGCAGUGGGGAAUAUUGCACAAUGGGCGCAAGCCUGAUGCAGCCAUGCCGCGUGUAUGAAGAAGGCCUUCGGGUUGUAAAGUACUUUCAGCGGGGAGGCGUUACCCGCAGAAGAAGCACCGGCUAACUCCGUGCCAGCAGCCGCGGUAAUAC